rnacentral:rRNA from 1 species
GAGUUUAAAUGAAGAGGGGCGCCUUGCAAACCGGGGUGGCGAUCCUACGGACGACUGCAGGCACGCUAAAUCCCUCCAGUCCUGACUCCGGCCGGUAGUGCCAAUACAUUGCUAUAUCAGAACGUGCCGGCGGUAUCAUCAAAGAGUACAACCUAGAUCCCUAGUCGAGGAUCGAUUAGAGUGCAGAGUCUGGUGGCAGCAUCCGCGGUAUGACAGCUCCCAAUAUCGUUUAUGAAAGAUGAAGCAGUCAAAAACAUAGGAGUUGGCAGUCAGUGUGGUGGCUUCAUAAGUCCAAGAAUUUCGUGUGCACUGAAUGAGAUCCGAAUGGUCGCCGACUGUCGGGCUCUAAUCAUUACUUGUGUCGGACUCGGAGUCAAGAUAGGCCAGAGUAGUAAAUUGGAGUGUCCAAAUCAGGCAUUCGCUGCGAAUACAUUAGCAUGGAAUAACAAGAUAGGACUAGUAACCUCGCCGAUUGUGAGUACGGCACAAGUAAGGCCUGAAAGGGGCAGUCGGGGGCAUUGGGGUUCCGUUGUCAGCGCUGAAAAUCGUGGAUCCGGCAAGCCCCACCCGAAAGAAAGCAUUGACCAAGGAUGUUUUCAUUAAUCAAGAACGAAAGUUUGGGGCUGGAAGACGAUUAGAUACCGUCCCAGUCUCAACCAUAAAAUUGAUCGACUAGGGAUCGGCGGGUGUUUUUCAUUCCAAUUACCAGGCCCAAGAUGAGAAAUCAAAGUUUAUGGGUUCCGCGGGGAGUAGUCAGGCAAGGGUAAAAUUUAAACGAAUUGCCGUAAGGGCACCACCAGGCCGGGAGCCAGGCUCCCUCUCCGGAAUAACACCC